GACUGUGCGGAAGAAAGUCCGAUAUAUUUUGCAGUGUUUACGACUUUGCGCAAGUACUGAUCCUUGUGUUUCUCUGUCCAGACUUGUGGCGUUUCCCAUUGGCGUUUGGACACGAUGCGUAUUUGGGCACUUUUUGUCAUCUCCAUGCGUGGUUAUUUCGGCACGCAAGCACUAAGGAGACGUGAAACCUCAACAAGAUAUACCAAUGCGACAAUGAAAGAGGCUGCGGAAGUGCACCACAUGGUUGUAAAUACGACAACAGCAGUGCAGGCGAAAAAGAUCCCCAAUGUUGUAUGUUUCUCUGCCCAGACGAAACGAACCCGUAAUCAAUACCGACAAGGAAAUUAUAAAAGUGCUUUUCUUUG
rnacentral:lncRNA from 1 species